rnacentral:rRNA from 1 species
GAUCCUGGCUCAGGAUGAACGCUGGCGGCGUGCUUAACACAUGCAAGUCGAACGAAGCACUUUAUUACGAUUUCUUCGGAAUGACGAUUUAGUGACUGAGUGGGCGGACGGGGUGAAGGUAACGCGUGGGUAACCUGCCUUAUACAGGGGGAUAACAGUUAGAAAUGACUGCUAAUACCGCAUAAGCGCACAGGAUUGCAUGAUCUGGUGUGAAAAACUCCGGUGGUAUAAGAUGGACCCGCG